GCUAAGUCCCCUUGCCAUGUGAUGCCACCUUGUGAUGCCAUAAAUAGUCCCCACCAGCAAGAAGGCCCUCACUAGAUGCAGCACCUCAUCCUUAGACUCCUGAGCCUGCAUAACUUGUACCACAACCCAGAGUGGAGGGAAGUUAACAUCCUAUGGGGCAACCUUCAGCUAUUGGAAGACAGGAGCCAGGGGAUAGAUAGCCCUUUACUCCCAAGUGAUCUGGAGAUGCAUUUCAUCCGGCUUCUCAGAUGGUUUUCUGGGACUGAACAACCCUUCACCAGCGGAGAUGGCCAACUUGACAAGACCUCCUUCCAUUGGAUUUCCCUCCUGCUUUGCUGUGCUCCCUCUGCCUUACUCCAGCUUUCUGAGGUCAUGCUCCCCAGUCAAAUACUAUCACAUAAACCUCUGCCUUGACUUCUGCUUUCUGAAAACACAGGCUAAGAGUGAGAGAGGCAUCCAUGUACACACAGCUAGAGGCAGAACCGGCGCCCAGCACGUAACAGGUGCCCAGUAAUGUUUCCUGAAUUGAAGUGAAUUGGCUGAACCAGGGCAAGCAGGAAGGCCUUGCUUCUGACUUCCAGGCUGCACCACUCAGCCUCCCCAUCUUAUGUCUCAAAGACGGAAAAAUUGUGACUCAGAGAGGAAGAGUAACACAGGUGAUCAGUAGAAGAGCUGAAAUCCAACUCAAGUGUCGUAGUUCCCAGUUAGGGACUCUUUCUCUGACUUCCAGUCUACGCCAGCCUAAUAGUGAGAUUGAAGCUAAACACUUGGGUUCUACGUAAUCUUCCUCUCCUUGGAAGGUGCCCCAGAGCUAGGGACCUAGAGGCGGCCUGCAGGGAUCCACCUUCCUGGGCUACUCACCUGCCUGAAGCAUGCAAUUCCAGGUACUGCUUCCAACCAGGGCUCAGCACAUUGUGCUUGAGGUUGGG
rnacentral:lncRNA from 1 species